rnacentral:rRNA from 1 species
UACGGGGGGGGCAAGCGUUGUUCGGAAUUACUGGGCGUAAAGGGUUUGUAGGCGGCGCGGUAAGUCGGGUGUGAAAUCUUGGAGCUUAACUCCGAAACUGCAUUCGAUACUGCCGUGCUUGAGGACUGGAGAGGAGACUGGAAUUUACGGUGUAGCGGUGAAAUGCGUAGAUAUCGUAAGGAAGACCAGUGGCGAAGGCGGGUCUCUGGACAGUUCCUGACGCUGAGGCACGAAGGCCAGGGGAGCAAACGGG